GCCGGGGAAACGCAGUAGGAGGAGUGACGGGAACCGGGAGCCGGCUCCAUGCGCCUGGAGCGCGCGGGUCCCAGCGCCCAUCGGCCCGGGGUCCGAGGGGCCCGCUGCCCGGGCUCGCUGCGUGGUGCUACCGCCCCCGGGCCCGCUGCGCCGCGUCGGAGCCCCAGCAGACUUUGAGAGGCGUGUGCGACAGUGCGCGUCCUCUCCUGCCUCUGGAUGUUUCCUUGGAGCCUCUGGCCUUCGGGAAGACCGUGCCACUGGGUUAGAGUCUCCCCGACCAAGCUGGUCUCAGCAAGUGGUCUCCAUCAUGGGGGCUCGAAUCCAGGUUGAAGGGUCACCAGAGUGAUGGUUGGAGAACAUGGAACUAGCUGGAGGACACCUGAGUACUCUUAAAGCAAACCCCGUGGCCAAAAUCAAUAACCAAUUUGGAUACCAUCAAGACACCUGAAACCUUAUCAUGAGCCAGAUGCUGAGGAAGAGAUUCCAGGAGGAUCCUGAGGACCCCCUGGUUGCAGCCACGUCGAGGCUGACACUGAGGAGGACCCCAACUGUCAUGAGCAACACCCGUCGAACACAGCCAUCCACCUGGGGACAAAUCAAGAAGCUGUCACAGAUGAUGGAAGAAAACCUGAGGAAAGCGGGACAACCAAUCACAAUGAGUAAUUUGGUGAUCUAUCACAGUGAUGAUCACCAUUGCCAUGAGUAUUCCUUCAACAAGGGCUGACACAGAGAACAAUUAUACUUAUUGGGCAUAUUUAUCAAUCUUGUCUGGCAAUAAUGCCUAGAUGAUUUCACUCUAUGGCACAGUUACACAUGCUUUCUGAUCUCAGUAUUUACCAUAAUAAAUCUGCUCCUAUAAUUGAGGCAUACCACCCUCAAAAACCUAUUUGUAAACAAAAUAGAACCUGGCCAGAAAUAAUGAACAACUUGUUUAGUAAGAUUGCAUUGCAGAACAGGCAGAGAUGCUACGCAAUGAUUCCUAUGGGAUCAUUGAUUGGUCCCCUAAGGGGAUGUUUAGCUUAAAUUGCACCUCUCAGUCUGCAUGCCAUGGCCACACUAGUUCAGAUGGUCUGAACAAAGUGGUCAGAUGGCAGAAAUGAUAAGAAGUAUGGCAAAAGUUCCUAUUGUCUGGAACCAUGGCAGUAUAGUGUCACCUCAACCUCAAAUGAUAUGGCUCAUUGUAGGAGCUAAACAUAAGGAUUUGUGGAAACUAUUAAUAGCUCUUAAUAAGAUCAAAAUUUGGGAAAGAAUAAAAAAAGCAUCUAGAAAGACACUCUACAAACUUGUCUUUGGAUAUUACAAAAUUAAAAGAACAAAUAUUUAAAGCAUCCCAGGUACACCUGACCUUAAUGACAGAAACUGGAGUGCUUGAAGGAGCUGCAGACAGAUUAGCAGCUAGUAACCCAUUAAAAUGGAUAAAAACACUUGGAAGCUCUGUGAUUUCAAUGAUGAUUGUGCUUUUAAUCGGUAUUGUUUGUCUUUGUAUAGUGUGCAGAUGUGGAUCCUGACUCCUGUGAGAAGUAGCUCACAGUGUCAAAGCUGCCUUUGCUUUUAUCGAUUUGCAAAUCAAAUAAGGGGGACAUAUUGGGAACAGCACCCCCCCCCCCAAAAUCUGGCCAUAAACUGGUCCCAAAACUGGCCAUAAACAAAAUCUCUGCAGCACUGACAUGUUCAUGAUGGUCUUAAUGCCCACGCUGGAAGGUUGUGGGUUUACCAGAAUGAGAGCAAGGAACACCUGGCCCACCCAGGGUGGAAAACCACUUAAAGGCAUUCUUAAACCACAAACAAUAGCAUGAGUGAUCUGUGCCUUAAGGCUGUGCUACUGCUGCAGAUAACUAGCCCAACCCAUCCCUUUAUUUCAGCCCAUCCCUUCGUUUCCCAUAAGGGAUACUUUUAAUUAAUCUAAUAUGUAUAGAAAGAAUGCUAAUGACUGGCUUGCUGUUAAUAAAUAACGUGGGUAAAUCUCUGUUGGAGGCUCUCAGCUCUGAAGGCUGUGAGACCCCGGAUUUCCCACUUCACACCUCUGUAUUUCUGUGUGUCUGUCUUUAAUUCCUUUAGCACCACUGGGUUAGGGUCUCCCCGACCGAGCUGGUCUUUGCACUUCUCACUUCUGGAUAUAGGCCUCCCUAGAGGGUUUUUUUUUUCUUUUUUGAUAGGAUCUUGCUCUUUCAUCCAGGCUGGUGUGCUGUAGUGUAUUCAUGGCUUGCUGCAGUCUUGAUCUCCCAGACUCAAGUAAUCCUCCCAUCUCAGCCUCCUGAAUAGCUAGGACCACAGGCCUGUGCCACCAUGUCUGGCUACUUUAAUUUUUUUUCCCUUAGAGACAGAGUCUCACUAUGUUGCCCAGGCUGGUCUCACAUUCCUGCACUCGUCAUCUUCCUGCCUUGGCCUUCCAAAGUGCUGAGAUUACAGGCAUGAAACACUACACCUGGCCAUCCCUGGAGUAUUUCUUCCUUCCUUCCUUCCUUGCUUCCUUCCUUCCUUUUUUCUUUUCCUCCCUCCCUCUCUCUUUCUUUCUUUGUUUCUUUUUCUCCCUUUCUUCCUUUCUUUCUUUCUUUUCUUUCUUUCUUCCUUCCUUUCUUUUUCUUUCUCUCUUUCUUUCUUCUUUCCUUCCUCCUUCCCUCCUUCCCUCCCCUCCCUCCCCCUCCCCUCCCUUCCUUCCUUCCUUCUUUCCUUCCUUCCUUCCUUUCUUCCUUCCUUCUUUCCUGUCUUAUUUCAAAACACAUGUCUUC
rnacentral:lncRNA from 10 species